GGGCUCAGAGAGAGAGAUGGGGAGAGAGAGAAAUUAAGAGAAAGAGGGUGAGGGAGAGAUAUGGAGAGAAACAAGGAGAGAGAGAGGGAUGAGAGAAAGAGGGAGAGAGAGGAGGAAGAGAGAGAGAAAGAGGGAGAGAUGGAGAGAAAGAGAGAAAGAGAUAUGGAGAGAGGGAGGGAGAGGAGGGAGAGAAAAAAUGAGGAAGAGGGAGAGAUAUGGAGGGAAACAGGGAGAGAGAGAGAGAGAGAGACAGGAGGAGAAUAGCUGUUGGGGUUUAGAGUGUGCUGCCAAGUCAUAUGACAUUCCAGUGGGGGGAACUAGAGGAGGGGGAACCUUGGAAGAGGAGGAGCAUGGUUCAGGGGGGAUCUUCUUUGGCAUCGCACCAGGUCUAAGGAGGGACGGGGUAACCAUAACGAUCAGUGAUGCUGCUGCUGAAGAGAACCAAUCAGAACAUCAACAAGACAGUCUAGUUUUAAUGAACAAUACAACCUGCCAUCUUUUUUAUUAUUUUAUUGACUUUUUCACGUUUCCAAUGUAUUGUAAUUGGAAGAGAAGAAAAGAUAACAAAAAGGCACAAAUUCACAGUAAAAGAAACAGAAACGAGGGAGUGAGAGGGGGAGAGAGAGAGGGGGGAAGAGAGAAAGAGAGAGAGGGAUAGAGGGAGAGAGAGAGAUAAGACAAAAACAUCAAUACUCUGGGGUUCUGAACUCAUUAUCAAUACUCUGGGGUUCUGAACUCAUUAUCAACAGUCUGGGGUUCUGGACUCAUUAUCAAUACUCUGGGGUUCUGAACUCAUUAUCAAUACUCUGGGGUUCUGGACUCAUUAUCAAUACUCUGGGGUUCUGAACUCAUUAUCAAUACUCUGGGGUUCUGGACUCAUUAUCAAUACUCUGGGGUUCUGAACUCAUUAUCAACAGUCUGGGGUUCUGGACUCAUUAUCAAUACUCUGGGGUUCUGGACUCAUUAUCAAUACUCUGGGGUUCUGAACUCAUUAUCAAUACUCUGGGGUUCUGAACUCAUUAUCAAUACUCUGGGGUUCUGGACUCAUUAUCAAUACUCUGUGGUUCUGAACUCAUUAUCAAUACUCUGGGGUUCUGGACUCAUUAUCAAUACUCUGGGGUUCUGGACUCAUUAUCAAUACUCUGAGGUUCUGGACUCAUUAUCAAUACUCUGGGGUUCUGAACUCAUUAUCAAUACUCUGGGGUUCUGGACUCAUUAUCAAUACUCUGUGGUUCUGAACUCAUUAUCAAUACUCUGGGGUUCUGGACUCAUUAUCAAUACUCUGGGGUUCUGGACUCAUUAUCAAUACUCUGAGGUUCUGGACUCAUUAUCAAUACUCUGGGGUUCUGGACUCAUUAUCAAUACUCUGGGGUUCUGGACUCAUUAUCAAUACUCUGGGGUUCUGAACUCAUUAUCAAUACUCUGGGGUUCUGGACUCAUUAUCAAUACUCUGGGGUUCUGGACUCAUUAUCAAUACUCUGGGGUUCUGGACUCAUUAUCAAUACUCUGGGGUUCUGGACUCAUUAUCAAUACUCUGGGGUUCUGAACUCAUUAUCAAUACUCUGGGGUUCUGGACUCAUUAUCAAUACUCUGGGGUUCUGAACUCAUUAUCAAUACUCUGGGGUUCUGGACUCAUUAUCAAUACUCUGGGGUUCUGGACUCAUUAUCAAUACUCUGGGGUUCUGGACUCAUUAUCAAUACUCUGGGGUUCUGAACUCAUUAUCAAUACUCUGGGGUUCUGGACUCAUUAUCAAUACUCUGGGGUUCUGAACUCAUUAUCAACAGUCUGGGGUUCUGAACUCAUUAUUUAUUAUGUUUACAAACCCAGGGAACUAACAGGAAUAUCUAUGAGGUCGUCUCUGUCAGCCAACAUCUCCCACCAGGUGAAGGGAGUCUUCUGUCCCAUAAAUACCAGAGCCCAAUCCCAAAUGGACCCCUAGACCCUACGCCCUACGCCCUAUGCACUUGUGGAGAUCUGAGAAGAUUUUACUUGUAUAGGAGGAUUUGAUUGGUUUAAGAGGAUUUGAUUGGUUUAAGAGGAUUUGAUUGGUUUAAGAGGAUUUGAUUGGUUUAAGAGGAUUUGAUUGGUUUAAGAGGAUUUGACUGGUUUAAGAGGAUUUGAUUGGUUUAAGAGGAUUUGAUUGGUUUAAGAGGAUUUGACUGGUUUAAGGAGGAUUUGAUUGGUUUAAGAGGAUUUGAUUGGUUUAAGAGGAUUUGAUUGGUUUAAGAGGAUUUGAUUGGUUUAAGAGGAUUUGAUUGGUUUAAGAGGAUUUGACUGGUUUAAGGAGGAUUUGAUUGGUUUAAGAGGAUUUGAUUGGUUUAAGAAAGAUGGUGAAACUUCCACCUAACCUGUCAAAUCCUCUCAGAUCUUCCACAUAAGGAGUAGGGUUUAGAGCAUAGGGUGUAGGGGUUUAAGGGUCCAUUUGGGACUGGGCCCUGUUAGUCCUACAGUAGGUGUUUAACAUGUUCGCCAACCACAUCAUAUGAUAUAACAAUCUGCUGCCCGACGGAGCAGUUGAUGACGUGGCACACAACCAUUGGUUGAUGUAAUGCAACGUCUGUCGAUGUGGUCAGACCAUCAUCAUUGUGUUUCGAACCAUCUCAGACCACAUCUAGGCCCUCCUCCUUAUCCUCGACUACUAGAGUUCCCUACCAAAUGGGACCCUAUUCUAUGUAUAUAGUAGACUUCCCCUUUAAGUGACAAUGUCUGGACUUUCCCUUUUAAGAGACCAGCUCUGGACUUCCCCUUUAAUGUGAGAGAUGUUAGCGGCUCAGAUUAUUGACAGAGGUACUACAACAUCCAGAACCAAAUAUAUCUAUACACCGUCCUGUCAACAAGACGUGGUCCCUGGGAGAGAAGGGAGCAGUGAAGGGAAUAGGGGGUAGGGAGUAGGGGGUAGGGGCUAGGGGGUAGGGAGUAGGGGGUAGGGAGUAGGGGCUAGGGGGUAGGGAGUAGGGGCUAGGGGGUAGGGGGUAGGGGCUAGGGGGUAGGGAGUAGGGGCUAGGGGGUAGGGAGUAGGGUGUAAGGAGUAGGGGCUAGGGAGUAGGGGGUAGGGUGUAAGGAGUAGGGGCUAGGGAGUAGGGAGUAGGGGCUAGGGAGUAGGGGGUAGGGGCUAGGAGGUAGGGAGUAGGGGGUAGGGAGUAGGGGGUAGGGUGUAAGGAGUAGGGGCUAGGGAGUAGGGGGUAGGGGCUAGGGGGUAGGGAGUAGGGGCUAGGGAGUAGGGGGUAGGGGCUAGGGAGUAGGGGCUAGGGAGUAGGGGGUAGGGCGUAAGGAAUAGGGGCUAGGGAGUAGGGGGUAGGGGCUAGGGAGUAGGGGCUAGGGUGUAGGGGCUAGGGAGUAGGGGCUAGGGAGUAGGGGUUUGGGAGCAGUGUAGGGAGUAGGGUGUAGGGGUUAGGGGCUAGGAAGUAGGGGGUAGGGAGUAGGGUGUAGGGAGUAGGGGGUAGGGGCUAGGGUGUUGGGAGUAGGGAGUAGAGGGGAUGGGUGUGCUGUAGGUCUGGCAGGGCAGUAUAUAUAUAUAUGUGUGUGUUCAUCUACAUUAAUUUUAUUUACAUAUACAAUAUCAGUACAUACUGAAUAUCACACAGAAGACAACCAGAGAUGCUCGAUGGAUGGAGAGAUGGACGGAGGGAUGGACAGUGUUGAUGGAGGAAGAUAAGGAUAUAGAGAAAGAGAAGGAUGGAGGAGAGGAGGAGAAGGAAGAGAAAAGGAGGAGAAGAGGAAGAUGAGGAUGAGGAGGAUGAGGGGAGGAUGGAAGGAGGAGGAGGAGAAGAGCAUCUGGUGAACACUCCUCCUCCCACCGUUCUACUCCCCUCUACCUCCCCCACUCCCCUCUACCUCCCCCCC
rnacentral:lncRNA from 1 species